rfam:TPA: Bos taurus chromosome 16, whole genome shotgun sequence.
UCCCUGGUGGUCCAGUGGCCAAGACUCUGCUCUCCCAAUGCAGGGGACAUGGGUUCAAUCCCUAGUCAGGGAA